UCCUGAGCGGGAGAAUCGGUGUAGGGACGUUCUGGGGAUGCCAGCUGUGGCCAGAUCAGGUCCAACUACAGAAGAAUAAUGAAGACUCCACCUGAGGGCUGGAAAAACAAAACCUCAAGUGUGAGGCAGCCAACCUGUUACCUCGAGGGACUGUUCCGCAGCACAGCGGGGCCAUGGGAACAGCAGCAGACACCCCGACCUCCUCGCUACCUGUGUGUGUAUUAACACGCCGGCCUCCUCGCUACCUGUGUGUGUAUUAACACGCCGGCCUCCUCGCUCCCUGUAUCAACUAUGGCCUGAGUAUGAUAGACUUAUCCAUGGUUUAAACAGAAUAUAUUGUUUUCAACUUUGAAAAUAAGAAUAUGGAAAUCCAGAUGCAGAAAUGUGAGAAGAAAAGAGAGUAAACAGAGUGGAAGGUCAGGUGACCUUGCCUGUCAUGAAUAUGAAGGUCAAGGUGUGUGAAUUGUGAAAUUUCCAAGAGAACCUCACUGAAGCAAAGAAUGAAGAAAGAAUUGCAUUUGGCCCUGGGAGGGUGCAGGGGUGAAUGGUGCAGGAGCUAAAUCUUUAUCAUACCCAGAAAUCAACAGCCACUAUUUGAAAUCAUCUAAAUUCGUGCUGCUAACCUUCAGUGUACACACGAAUCACCUGGGGAUCUUACUAAAAGCUAGUUUCUGAUUCACUAAA
rnacentral:lncRNA from 1 species